ACCCGCACAAGCGGUGGAUGAUGUGGAUUAAUUCGAUGCAACGCGAAAAACCUUACCUACCCUUGACAUGUCCGGAAUCCUGCAGAGAUGCGGGAGUGCCCGAAAGGGAAUCGGAACACAGGUGCUGCAUGGCUGUCGUCAGCUCGUGUCGUGAGAUGUUGGGUUAAGUCCCGCAACGAGCGCAACCCUUAUCAUUAGUUGCUACGCAAGGGCACUCUAAUGAGACUGCCGGUGACAAACCGGAGGAAGGUGGGGAUGACGUCAAGUCCUCAUGGCCCUUAUGGGUAGGGCUUCACACGUCAUACAAUGGUCGGUACAGAGGGUUGCCAAGCCGCGAGGCGGAGCCAAUCCCACAAAGCCGAUCGUAGUCCGGAUUGUUCUCUGCAACUCGAGAGCAUGAAGUCGGAAUCGCUAGUAAUCGCAGGUCAGCAUACUGCGGUGAAUACGUUCCCGGGUCUU
rnacentral:rRNA from 1 species